UACGAAGGGGGCUAGCGUUGCUCGGAAUCACUGGGCGUAAAGCGCACGUAGGCGGACUCUUAAGUCAGGGGUGAAAUCCUGGAGCUCAACUCCAGAACUGCCUUUGAUACUGGGAGUCUUGAGUUCGGGAGAGGUGAGUGGAACUGCGAGUGUAGAGGUGAAAUUCGUAGAUAUUCGCAAGAACACCAGUGGCGAAGGCGGCUCACUGGCCCGAUACUGACGCUGAGGCGCGAAAGCGUGGGGAGCAAACAGG
rnacentral:rRNA from 1 species